GCAAAAUGUUGAGAAAUUUUCAUAAUAACAUAUGAUCAUUCAUGUUUUCAUGUUGUCCUGUGUAUUUUUCAGUGUUUGUGAUUGUGAAUGUUGUCAAAGUGUUCGCGACUGAUUUGGAAGAUCGAUCCACCAGGAACACCUGUAGUCCGAGCCCUUGUGUUCACGGGUCAUGUUUCAGCAGCGCUUCCAACAACUUUACGUGCGUGUGUGAUGGGGAUUUCACUGGUCAAAACUGCGACACUCCCAUCUAUGCCCUCGAGUGUUACAGUUGCCAAAAUAUAAAGACACCAUCAACAUGCAACCAGACUCAGAAGUGCACAUCGGGACAG